rnacentral:rRNA from 1 species
UACAGAGGGUGCGAGCGUUAAUCGGAAUUACUGGGCGUAAAGCGCGCGUAGGCGGCUUUGCAAGUCGGGUGUGAAAUCCCCAGGCUUAACCUGGGAACUGCAUUCGAGACUGCAUUGCUAGAGUAUGGGAGAGGGAAGUGGAAUUUCCGGUGUAGCGGUGAAAUGCGUAGAUAUCGGAAGGAACAUCAGUGGCGAAGGCGGCGACCUGGGCCAAUACUGACGCUGAGGCACGAAGGUCAGGGGAGCAAACGGG